CAGUUUUUCUAAGCGAUACAACAUUUUUACUAUUCAGGAAUCUCACUGAGUAAUCAAAUUUACUAUAAACCUAAUAUACUGUGGUGCAUACCAUCGGUAUUCUGUAGUGAUUUUAGUAUUUACCUUACACUAAAUUAAGUUAGCAAUAUCUGUACAGUGUUAUCCAUGCCUGUCAGAUGUUGGCAUCCUAAGUAGCGGCGCUACCUGCAAGUGCCUGAAGCUAACUGCAAUCCUUGUUCAGAAGGUCUUAUGCAUGCUUAAGUAAAGUAGAAAAUUUCAAUUUUUCUGAAUACAUUUUGCAAUAUUUAC